CGAUAAUUAGUUUAAACAAAACAAGUGAUUUCGACUCACUAGAUUAUGAUUCACCUCAUAAUUAUCAA
rnacentral:tRNA from 1 species